UACGUAGGGGGCAAGCGUUGUCCGGAUUUAUUGGGCGUAAAGAGCGUGUAGGCGGCCAUGUAGGUCCGUUGUGAAAACUCGAGGCUCAACCUCGAGACGCCGAUGGAAACCAUGUGGCUAGAGUCCGGAAGAGGAGAGUGGAAUUCCUGGUGUAGCGGUGAAAUGCGCAGAUAUCAGGAGGAACACCAACGGCGAAGGCAGCUCGCUGGGACGGUACUGACGCUGAGGCGCGAAAGCGUGGGGAGCAAACAGG
rnacentral:rRNA from 1 species